GAAAUGUCAAAAUCAAAAUGACGGGUCCUGCACAAGAAUGUGAAACAUCGUUAAAAUAUGAUUAUUCAUCAUUUUGGGAGAUGCAACUCCUGGGUAAAAGGGAAGUGGAUCAGGAAUUCAUGCCUUGUUACAUCAGCAGCUAAACAUUUUAUAAGACUCGAAGAAAAAUAACAAUCCCAUGCACUUACCUUCAGUACUUCCUCUUUCUCAAAAUGGCCACUCCACCACAAUCCUGCUUCUGCUUCCCAUGGAUGACUUCACGUCUGGUCCCACCGUAAUGGCAUUACUUCUGACUCCUAAUGAUGAUGCAAUUUUCCACCUCUGCCAUGAUGAUGUCACUUCUGGCUCCUUAUU